rnacentral:misc_RNA from 1 species
AACAUCGCGCACCUGCGGGAACCUGCGGAGGGAUCAUCAAAGAAUUUCCAUGAUACCCACAAGUGUUUUGGAUUGUUGGGGGGGGUGAAAGAGGGGGGGAGUUCAUUGUAAUGAUGGCUCUCUCUCGCUUUUCCUCUUUCUUUUCAAUCCGGGCACUUUAACCAAACGAUCACAACCAGAGAAUUAUUGAGGGGGGAAACAGCAAAAGUGUUUGCCUGAUACUGAGUUGAUUGAUUUGAC